rnacentral:rRNA from 1 species
AGUGAGGAAUAUUGGACAAUGGUCGGGAGACUGAUCCAGCCAUGCCGCGUGCAGGAAGACUGCCCUAUGGGUUGUAAACUGCUUUUUUACGGGAAGAAUAAUACCCACGUGUGGGUAGAUGACGGUACCGUACGAAUAAGGACCGGCUAACUCCGUGCCAGCAGCCGCGGUAAUACGGAGGGUCCGAGCGUUAUCCGGAAUUAUUGGGUUUAAAGGGUCCGCAGGCGGGCCAGUAAGUCAGGGGUGAAAGUUUGCGGCUUAACCGUAAAAUUGCCUUUGAUACUGCUGGUCUUGAGUUGCGGUGAAGUGGCCGGAAUAUGUGGUGUAGCGGUGAAAUGCAUAGAUAUCACAUAGAACACCGAUUGCGAAGGCAGGUCACUAACCGCCGACUGACGCUGAUGGACGAAAGCGUGGGGAGCGAACGGGAUUAGAUACCCCGGUAGUCCACGCCGUAAACGAUGGACACUAGCUGUCGGGCCUUUUUGGUUCGGCGGCCCAGCGAAAGUGAUAAGUGUCCCACCUGGGGAGUACGUCGGCAACGAUG